AGUGAGUAGAGGUUUUUCUUUUUUUAUGCUAAUCAGUCUGAGGACUGAAAUGAUCACUUCUCUAGAAGUGAUUCUAGCUCUUCUUGCAAAGAGCUGAGCUGCUCCUUUUCUCUGUCUUGCUUCUGUUUGAGUUCAUCCAGCACAGCCUGAAA